AUUGAACGCUGGCGGCAUGCCUUACACAUGCAAGUCGAACGGCAGCGCGGACUUCGGUCUGGCGGCGAGUGGCGAACGGGUGAGUAAUGCAUCGGAACGUGCCUUUUAGUGGGGGAUAACGUAGCGAAAGUUACGCUAAUACCGCAUAUUCUCUUAGGAGGAAAGCAGGGGAUCGCAAGACCUUGCGCUAAUAGAGCGGCCGAUGUCGGAUUAGCUAGUUGGUGAGGUAAAGGCUCACCAAGGCGACGAUCCGUAGCGGGUCUGAGAGGAUGAUCCGCCACACUGGGACUGAGACACGGCCCAGACUCCUACGGGAGGCAGCAGUGGGGAAUUUUGGACAAUGGGGGCAACCCUGAUCCAGCCAUGCCGCGUGAGUGAAGAAGGCCUUCGGGUUGUAAAGCUCUUUCGGCCGGGAAGAAAUCGCACAGGCUAAUAUCCUGUGUGGAUGACGGUACCGGAAUAAGAAGCACCGGCUAACUACGUGCCAGCAGCCGCAGUAA
rnacentral:rRNA from 1 species